rnacentral:misc_RNA from 1 species
AGGUUGUAACAAGGUUUCCGUAGGUGAACCUGCGGAAGGAUUAUUAUCGUGAGGCUUCGGCCUUAUCAAGAUAGAACCCUUGCCUUUAUAGUACCUUCCUGUUUGCCUCAGCAAAUUGCCGUAACUAGCACACCAAAUGGGGUCCCAAAAAAUUAAAGCCUUUGUUUAUAAGUCAAUAGUCUGAAAAGCAAAUCAAAAAGUAAAA